rnacentral:rRNA from 1 species
AGAGUUUGAUCCUGGCUCAGGAUGAACGCUAGCGGCAGCUAAUACAUGCAAGGCGACUGUCGUACGGGUGCGUAACGCGUAUGCACCUACCUAUCACUGGGGGAUAGCCGGGGAAACCAUUAAUACCGCAUAAAACGCAUGUAAAGAUUGGUGAUAGAUGGGCAUGCGUUCGAUUAGCUAGUUGGCGGGUAACGGCCACCAAGGCGACGAUCGAUAGGGGAGCUGAAGGGAGAUCCCCCACACUGGUACUGAGACACGGACCAGACUCUACGGGAGGCAGCAGUGAGGAAUAUUGGUCAAUGGACGCAAGUCUGAACCAGCCAUGCCGCGUGCAGGAAGAAGUUAUGGAUUGUAAACUGCUUUUGUACAGGAAGACGUUGACAGUACUGUAAGAAUAAGGAUCGGCUAACUCCGUGCCGCAGCCGCGGUAAUACGGAGGAUCCAAGCGUUAUCCGGAAUCAUUGGGUUUAAAGGGUCCGUAGGCGGAUAGUAAGUCAGCGGUGAAAGUUUCAGCUUAACUGAAAAUUGCCAUUGAUACUGCUAUCUUGAAUGUUUGUGAAGUAGCUAGAAUUGUAGUGUAGCGGUGAAAUGCUUAGAUAUUACAGGAAUACCAAUUGCGAAGGCAGGUUACUAACAAUUAAUUGACGCUGAUGGACGAAAGCGUGGGGAGCAAACAGGAUUAGAUACCCUGGUAGUCCACGCCGUAAACGAUGGAUACUAGCUGUUCGAUUGAGUGGCAAGCGAAAGUGAUAAGUAUCCACCUGGGGAGUACGAACGCAAUUUAAACUCAAAGGAAUUGACGG